rnacentral:rRNA from 1 species
GCUUGUCUCAAAGAUUAAGCCAUGCAUGUCUAAGUUUAAAUAGUAAACAGUGAAACUGCGAAUGGCUCAUUACAUCAGUUUUAACAUACAUGAUAGUCACUUCUACUUGGAUAACCGUAGUAAUUCUAGAGCUAAUACAUGCGUAAAGGUAGCCGCAAGGCCGCUGUGUUUAUUAGAUCCAACCAGCCCGGUUCGCCGGAGUCCCUGGUGAGUCAUAAUAACUGAGCGAAUCGCAUGGCCUUGUGCCGGCGAUGGUUCAUUCAAGUUUCUGCCCUAUCAGCUUUCGAUGGUAGGGUAUUGGCCUACCAUGGCGUUAACGGGUAACGGAGAAUUAGGGUUCGAUUCCGGAGAGGGAGCCUGAGAAACGGCUACCACAUCCAAGGAAGGCAGCAGG